rnacentral:rRNA from 1 species
CCUACGGGAGGCUGCAGUGGGGAAUAUUGGACAAUGGGCGAAAGCCUGAUCCAGCCAUGCCGCGUGUGUGAAGAAGGCCUUCGGGUUGUAAAGCACUUUCAGUGGGGAAGAAAGCCUUGGGGCUAAUACCCUCGAGGAAGGACAUCACCCACAGAAGAAGCACCGGCUAACUCCGUGCCAGCAGCCGCGGUAAUACGGAGGGUGCGAGCGUUAAUCGGAAUUACUGGGCGUAAAGCGCGCGUAGGCGGUCUGAUAAGCCGGUUGUGAAAGCCCCGGGCUCAACCUGGGAACGGCAUCCGGAACUGUCAGGCUAGAGUGCAGGAGAGGAAGGUAGAAUUCCCGGUGUAGCGGUGAAAGGCGUAGAGAUCGGGAGGAAUACCAGUGGCGAAGGCGGCCUUCUGGACUGACACUGACGCUGAGGUGCGAAAGCGUGGGUAGCAAACAGGAUUAGAUACCCCAGUAGUC